rnacentral:rRNA from 1 species
UACGUAGGGGGCAAGCGUUGUCCGGAAUCAUUGGGCGUAAAGGGCGCGUAGGCGGUUUGUACAGUCAGACGUGAAAUUCCUGGGCUCAACCUGGGGGCUGCGUUUGAUACGUGCAGACUUGAGUUCGGAAGAGGGUCGUGGAAUUCCCAGUGUAGAGGUGAAAUUCGUAGAUAUUGGGAAGAACACCGGUGGCGAAGGCGGCGACCUGGUCCGAUACUGACGCUGAGGCGCGAAAGCGUGGGGAGCAAACAGG